UACGGAGGGUGCAAACGUUGCUCGGAAUCAUUGGGCGUAAAGCGCACGUAGGCGGCUAUGUAAGUCGGGUGUGAAAGCCCUCGGCUCAACCGAGGAAGUGCAUUCGAAACUGCAUGGCUUGAGUGUCGGAGAGGAUAGCGGAAUUCCCGGUGUAGAGGUGAAAUUCGUAGAUAUCGGGAGGAACACCAGUGGCGAAGGCGGCUAUCUGGACGAACACUGACGCUGAAGUUCGAAAGCGUGGGGAGCAAACAGG
rnacentral:rRNA from 1 species